GUGCCUGUAGCUCAAUGGCAGAGCACUGGACUGUGGAUCCAGUGGUUGCGGGUUCAACCCCCGUCAGGCACC
rnacentral:tRNA from 1 species